UCCUGGCUCAGGAUGAACGCUAGCUACAGGCUUAACACAUGCAAGUCGAGGGGUAGCAGGGUAGCAAUACCGCUGACGACCGGCGCACGGGUGAGUAACACGUAUCCAACCUUCCCAUAACUCAGGGAUAGCCUUUCGAAAGAAAGAUUAAUACCUGAUAGUACUUUUUCAAGGCAUCUUGAGAAAGUUAAAGAUUUAUUGGUUAUGGAUGGGGAUGCGUUCCAUUAGAUAGUUGGUGAGGUAACGGCUCACCAAGUCUUCGAUGGAUAGGGGUUCUGAGAGGAAGGUCCCCCACAUUGGUACUGAGACACGGACCAAACUCCUACGGGAGGCAGCAGUGAGGAAUAUUGGUCAAUGGGCGAGAGCCUGAACCAGCCAAGUAGCGUGAAGGAAUGAAGGUCCUAUGGAUUGUAAACUUCUUUUAUAGUAGAAUAAAGUGAUCCACGUGUGGAUUUUUGUAUGUAUACUAUGAAUAAGGAUCGGCUAACUCCGUGCCAGCCGCCGC
rnacentral:rRNA from 1 species